AGCUUUAUAGUCAAAUAUGAUAUUAGACUGCAAUUCUAAUGGUGUAAAAAUUUACUAAGGCUU
rnacentral:tRNA from 1 species